GCCCGGAGCCCGCCCGGAGCCCGCCCGGCCCUCUGCGGAUCGGGGCGGCCCCGGGGAUCGCCCUCCUUGCCUCCAGCUCUCCUGCUUCCCGCCUCCGCGGCGCAUCCCGUACGAGGAGGCUGUCGUGCAGGAAUUCGGGCCGGCUCGAGUGGGAGAAUCUUUCGGGCCCACGAGGCUCCCAUUCCAGACCUGCCUGCUGUGCAGUGGCUGCCAAGGACUCGUGGCCCCUCGGGGCUGUGACUCCCACCCCGGCUCCAGGUCCCCCUCCAGCCCUGCUCCCCGGCGUCUCUCUGUGGCAGGGCAGGAGCUGUGGUGGCAGGAGAGCCUGGAACUAGGUGAUAUUUAAGGUCCCUUCCAACCCAGGCUGUUGUAUGGUUCUGUGAACCUGCUGUCUCUAGACACAGUGAGUCCCUGGAGGGGCUGAAGUCGUGGCAGAGCCCUGCUCGUGGCUCCCUAUCCAGGGACGAUGGAAGCCACUCCAGGUGGGCAGGACUGGCAGCAUGGAUUUUUGCUAGCAGAGCCACCUCCUGUUUAGGAGACACGGUGGAGUGGUGGCUGUCGUGGCUUACAAAGUCUGUGCUGAUUCCUUUAUGUUUAAAUUCAGAAUCUUCCCCCGCGUUUUAAAUAUCUGCCAGCGUUAAAUUUCUCUACUUAAAAAAAUAUAUAUCCCAUAUGUGGAGUGCUGGAGUGAAAUGCACAGAGACCCCCCAGUCCCUCCUCCUCCUCUUGCCCACAUGCACACACACGCAGAGCAGCUCUGUCGAAUACUGGCUUGGUAUUUCCCAUGAUGUUUUCUCCAAGACAGAAAGGGAAAAAUACAUCAGCACAAUCAGCCCCAGCUGAGUUGCUCAGCAACACUUCCCAAAAGCGAAGAUCCUUGGAGCUGGAAGACAAGGUGGAUAAAAAUUACCCACCAGGAAAAAAGCCAAACAUUAAAAAAAAUUAAAAUUAUAUACUCUAUAUUUAUAUUUCUUUCAGGCUGCUUAUACCUCAGUUGUUUAACCCCCAAACACACAGGCUGCCUCUGCUGUUUCCUCUUCCCAGCCUUAGAAAAGGGGUUGGAUUAUACCUCCCUCUUCCCUCCUCCCCUCUCCCACCCCAAAACUUGCAACAGUGCCUCUCAGAGCAGGAACACGGCUGUGGGUGAGCGAGUGUCUUCCUCCAGUUAAGAACAAAGACAUUAUUUUUUUUAUUUACAAAAAAAGGAGAAAAAAGUUUCCACACAAAAGCACUACAAUGAUAACUCCCUUUGGUAAAAAGUGUAAUAAAUGUCUCCAUCGGUCUGUCUGUCGGUACUAAUUCUCAAGCCACCUGGUACUAUGGUACACAAGAAGCUAGUACAGUUAUGCUAGCACAUCAAGCAUAAUUCCUUUAAUUAAAAAAAAAACAACAAAACAAAACAAAA